rnacentral:rRNA from 1 species
UACGUAGGGUGCAAGCGUUAUUCGGAUUCACUGGGCGUAAAGGGUGCGCAGGCGGCCGGGUGUGUCAGAUGUGAAAUCCCGAGGCUCAACCUCGGAACUGCGUCUGAAACUACUCGGCUAGAGUACUGGAGAGGGUAACGGAAUUCACGGUGUAGCAGUGAAAUGCGUAGAUAUCGUGAGGAACACCAGAGGCGAAGGCGGUUACCUGGACAGUUACUGACGCUCAGGCACGAAAGCAUGGGGAGCAAAAGGG